UGAGAAGAAAAAAAGAGGGAUUCAAUGUAGGCACUAUUGUUUGUUGAAAAGGCUUACACUGCUAAUUAUUAAUAAUUACAUUGUAAAACAACAACAGCAAUAACAAACCCAGUAUAUUCCCAUCAAGUAGGGUCUGGGAAGGGUAAGAUAUACACAGACCAUACCACUACUUCCGAGGAAGUAAAGAGGCUAUUUUCGAUGGACCCCCGGCUCAAGGUGGAGUUGACCUAUCCUUUAUUUUCUUUCUUUUAAUUUUGGUAUGCCUUUAAUGCACAAUGUUUUGAAACAGUAAGCAACUUCUCACUUAUCUUCCUUGUUUUUUUAUAUGAUGGUUUGGGUAUUUGUUUAUUGAAUUAUUGUAUUCAUUGAUUUGUGUGUCUAAUCAACCUUGUUUUUAUAAUACCACAAUACAUAUAGAAUGAUUAGUCUUAACUUAUAACAAAUCCCUGCACGCACCUUAUUGAUUUGUUUGACUGUUGAAUUAUGGGGUUGUUGUUUGUUGGUUUCUCAUAAACCUUUUGAAUCAAGUAACAUUAGGUGCAUGAGGUAAUGAAGUUUUUUCUCAUAAAUCAGGAGUGAGGGAAAAUAAGGAACUUCUUUGAAUCUACAAAAAAGUUAGAGUUUGGAAAAGAAGAUAAAAAGGAGUAGUUUCAUGUUUUUGGUUGGGCACCUUAAUGUUUGGUCUGUUUUGAGCUUGUAAGUCCUCUCUUUUAAAAAAGAAGUCCUCUCUUUUGAUAAAUUUAAUUUGAAAUUUUUUUUUGUUAGGUUUGUAAUAUUUAAAAUCAAGAAUCUAUUAGGUUUUGGUGCAGAUUCGGUUGGACUUCGAGAAUCUUUUGUAUACAUAUGAACAUUCAAUCAAGCUUUGAGGAAUUUUAUAUAGGUUAUAUUUAAUCAUAUUGUUUUUACAUUUUUAUUAUAGUAUCGUGUUAUUGAAAUGUCGAUGAAUGUUCAGUCAGACUUGAAGGAACUUUUUGUAAAAGUUAUGUUAUCUUGAUUAUCGCGAUGGUAGAUGAAUAUUCGAUCGGUACGUUUGUCCUAUAUUUUAAAAGAACAAAAACAAUGUAUAAAAAAAGUAACAGUUAUACAAAAACAAAUAUAGUUACAGAUUGCUUCAGCUUAUGAGCGGGAGAAUACACUAUCUACAGUUUAGAUCUCCCACAUCCUCUAAGUAAGUUUUAAUAUGAUGGAAAGCAUAAUUGCAUUCAUCAUGAUAAUGUUAUUUUUUGAAUGCGUCUUCUUUAAUAAUAAAACCUACAUCAUGGUAAAAAGACAAGCUCUCUGUAUUUUUUGAACUCUUAAGAUUUAGGAUGUUUAAGCAACCUGCCUCAUGAGAAUCUCUUUUUAUUAUAUUUUCUAUUUUACUGACGAAAAUAUAAUCAAUGACACACCUUGCAACUUUCUUUCUGUUUAAGUCACAUGUUCAAGUGUGUUGCAUUUUUUUGGCGAUGAAAUGUUCUAUUGAUUUGGUUGUGGGAAUGUUUAUAAUUUUUCAUCCUAAAAUAUAUUGUAAGAGAUAAAUCUAUGGCAAAUUAAUAGUGGUAAUUUUCCUUUUUCUUCUUGAGUAAAAAAAAUGAAUUCUGAAAUAUAUGGUUAGAAAAAAGUCAUAACAUAUAUGGUAAGAAAAUAAAAAAAAAUAUGAUAGAUUUUCAAGCUUUCACAGCAAAUCUGUAGAAGUUUAUUUACUUAGAGGGAGACCAUGAGUUAUCGAGAAUUGUUUUUGCCAAUUUGGUCGUGCAGAUCACACCAAAUUAUGCAAUAUAUUAGUCUUUUAAUUUUUCUUUUUUAGUCUUUUUUAUUUUUAUCAUUACUUUCAGAUUGUUAUCUUCUGCUUUAUUAAAAUUCUUAUUGAUAUUUAAAUUUAUCACAAGUAAUUGUGUUAUAUUAUUAUACUAUUAUAUAAUAGUUUAAAAUGUGUUUUCGUGCAUUUAAUAUCAAUGACAAAAUUUGUUGACUUUAAAUAAUUACAAAAUUAUAUAUAAACCCUCAUAAUAUAUUAUACAUAAAAUUUAAAAUAAUAACUCCUAAAAACACGUAUAAUCCUACUUAGGUUAACAAAAAUCACAUCCUUUUAAAAACUCUUAACAAUUGGUCAAUAAAUCCUUCAUUCAUAGUCCAGUACUCUUUAUUACUAAUAACGUUUCUUUAAACAUUCUUCUUCUUUAUAUUGUUCUAUUUAUGUUAUUAAAGUUAUAUGACAAUCUGUACAUCUAAUAUAUUCUGGAUAAUUUUUGUUUUUCCAGAAUUAUGCUUAUAUAUCAUAAAAAGCUUUUGUACGUUCUGAUGUCAAUUUUUAUAAAUAUCAAUCAAUUUAUCUGAUAAUAGAGUUUACUGCUAUUAGAUGUGGUCAUAAAACUAAAAAGUCGUGUGUCAAAAGUGUCGAAAAAAUCGUUUAGCAUUUGAAGUUAACUAAUCUAACGAAUAUAGAGUCCAACUACAUCAUUUAAAUAAAUAUAAAAAUUAUUUUUACAUUAAGUGCUAUUUUUAAAUAAUUUUAUUUUUUAUGUAUAUUUUUAUUUAUAGACAUGAUCAGAUACACGUGCAUCGCACGUACAUUAAACUAGUAGUAAUAAAAUUAGUAGAGUUCAUUUAGAACUCUUUUGCAACUUUCGUAAUCUUAUCAUUUCAGAUAUCGUAACCUCACCCAGCCUCACCCGUUAAUGAAAAGGUACAUAUAUCUCCUUGAACUUUAAUAAAUGGUACAGAUAUAUCCACCGUCAUACUUUAGGUACAAAUAUACCCAUGAACAUAGAUAAGUGGUACAGAUAUACCCUCCAUCAUACUUUAGGUACAAAUAUAUCCUUGUCGUUAAUGAAAAGGUACACAUACACCCUUCUUAUUAACGACAGGACACGUGUCAAAAUUCUAUUUAUUUGACCUUUUUAAAUUUAAUUUAUCUCCACUCCACCCCAAAAUAAUUCUAAUUUAAUCCACAAUCCGAUCCAAAUAAUAAUCCAAACUCAAUCUGGUCUAAUAGAAUGAGAAAGAGAGAUUGAAUAUGUGUGAAUAGAGAUGCAUCUUGAAGGUUCUAUUAGACUGGAUCGGGUUUGGGUUAUUAUUUGAAUCGGUUUGUGGGUUAAAUUAGAAUUAUUUUUGAGUAGGAUGGAGAUAAAUUAAAUUUAAAAAAGGCAAAUGAAAAAGAUUGUGCCACGUGUCCUGCUGUUAGUGAGAAUGGUUUAUAUGUACCUUUUUAUUAACGACAAGAGUAUGUUUGUACCUAAAGUAUGACGGAGGGUAUAUUUGUAUCAUUUAUCAAAGUUCAGGGGUAUAUAUGUAUCUUUUCAUUAAUGACAGAGAUAUAUUUAUACCUAAAGUAAGACAGAAGGUAUAUUUGUACUAUUUAUUAUAGUUUAGGGGUAUAUAUGUACCUCUUUAUUAACUAAAAGGGUAUAUUUAUAUCUAAAGUAUAACGAAGGGUAUGUCUGUACCAUUUAUUAAAGUUCAGGGGUAUAUUUAUACUUUUUUUCGUAAAAAGUUUAAAAGUUAAAAAAAUAAAAUAUGGUGGGGAUGUGGUGGGCAAAGGUAAGAGAUGGGUGUGGAAUUGGUAGGGUGGAUAAUUUUGAAAGUAGCAUGAGAAUUUUUAAUUGACUUAAUUUAGAAGAUAUAAUAAUAAGUAUAAAUAAAUACUUAAAGAUAUUAAUGACAAAACCAAAAAAUGAAAAAAUUAUGAAGAAAAAGUAUGAAAAUUAAAAAGAAAAUAAUAAAUUAUCUGUGCUUAAUUUUGAGUUAGGAGUUAUGAUAUUUAAAAUUUGAAAUUAGAAGUUUUGUAACUGACAAAAUUAAGUACUUUUAGUAUUUGAAAUGAAACUGAAAGAUAAUUUUUUAUAUUUUAUAAAAAGUGUAGUUAGUAGUUGAAGUUGAAUUGAGAGACCAAAAGACACAAAUUUGAAAUGGAAGAAAAGAAAUAUAAUUAUAUGUCUUAAUUUAUUACAAAUAUAAAGGUAAUAAUUCAACAAUAAAAUUAAUAAUUAUUUAAUAUUUUUAGAAAUAAUUUAAUGGAAUAUGAUUGAAACAAAUACUAGUAUUUUUUUAUAUCAAAACAUCUAAAAUAAUCGCAAUUGUGACUUAUUAUCAUGUAUCAGUUGUAAUUUCAUAUUCACAAUUGUUUAAUAUUUCAUUAUUUUUUGAAAUAGGUUAAUGCGAUAUAAUAAAAAUUAAUUAAUUUUAUAAUUUCAGAGUAGAUAAGUUAGUGUAUUUUAAUAAAUAUUUUUUAACAUUCCAUGCAUCGUACGGGUACCUAUACUAGUUAAAGCUAAAAACAAAAAAAUAAUAUGGUUGAUGGCCUGCUACUAAUUCUCAAUAAAAAACAGUUAAAAUAAACAAAAAUAAUCAAACUUUGAUUAUGUAAAGUGAAAUCAAAUCAAAUUACAAGUAAUGACUCUAUCUAAAUCCAAGAAAAGGAAUGUAGUUACUCAGCGUCAUAAAUAACAACUCAAAAUUCAAAAAAUUAUUAAUGAAAAGCAAAACAAAAUGAAGGAUCGAAAAUUUAUGGAUGUGGCUUAUACUGUUGGUUAAAUUAUAAGAAAAUUACAAUUGAAAUUACAAGUGAAGAAAAUGAAAAAUAUCUUCUUCUUCGACUGAGGCGCAGACAUCUCGCUCUCUUUAAGGAGAUUCAAGUCAACUGCAACAAAUGUUUUUAUCGGUCCAACAAUAAUCUUCUUGACUAGUCCCAUCAAGAAUACAACAAUCUCCUCACAAAGAACAACUCAAUAACUCUAGACAAGAGUUGAGUUCAAAGCUCCACAAAAAGAAUACCCCCCUUCAACUAACAAACUCUCUUUUUUUACCAACUUUUGUUAAUUGAAUAUUUUCUUGUACUUGUAAAAUAUGCAAGACCACCUCAUUGUAGGGGGGUGCGGAUAGUACGGGUAACUUAACAUAGCUUAACACAACCCUUGAAAUGCUAUUUUUUUUAUGUGGUCAAGUAGAUUUUUUUUCGUAAGUAUUUCUGUUAAUCUUAUUUGCUCCAUAUCUUUUCUCCAAUAUUCUUAGUAUUCGUAGUUUAUCAUUUUAUCCUAUAGUAGUUGUAAUUUUACAAAUUUCUUUGUAAUAACUUAUUCUAAUCGUACUAUAUCUAAUAUGUGUUCUAUGUUAUCUAUGUGAUUCAUUAACAUUUGUUGUUCACGUAUAAUAUUAUAUAAACUAUCAUUUGUGUCUGCUUUUUCUAAGGAUAACUUUAUUCUAAAUAAUCUUUCUUCUAAUUGCCUUUUUUCUCUUCUACGCUGGUUCCUGUAAUUAAUUUCUUCAUAUAGCCAACUUUGUUUUUCUCUAACUCUUCUAAUAUAUUCUAUUAUUUUUUAAUCUGUAUAAUAUCCGUCUGAAUAAUAACUAUCUAAAUAUGAGCAGUAGCUAUCAUUAUAUAAGUGUAAGUUUUCUAUAGAACUUAAUAACUCUUCAUUAAAAUGAAAUACCUUUUCGUAUAUAAUUUUUUUUAUAUCUACUAUUUCUAUAUCCUUAAGUAUAUACAAAAUAAGUAUUUUAAAUUUAUCUAUCAUCUCAUCAGAUAAGUAAAUCAUAUGAUGCUAUUUUCAAAAUAUUCCUUCCAAUCAUAUACAUAAUAAAAUAUGGUCAUUUUAGAUCACUAUAUACUAGAUUAUUCUUAAAUAACAUGUUCUUCGGGCACUAUUAGCAUGGUAAUCUGGAUAUUUUUUCCCAAACAGUGCCUCUACUCUGGUUAACCCCCUACCACGACUUCUUUACCACACCGGUUUCAUAUUUAGGAUGGCAUAGCUCUUGAGAAUUUUUCUCCUUUUUCACUUUGCUAAUAAACUUUUUAACAUGCUAUUCUUCGAAUAAUUCUACUAUAAAGUAACUAAUAUGAACUUAUUUUAUUAUCUCAUGAUUGUCAGAAAUUUAUGAAUUUAGCUAUUCAUAAUUAUAAAUGAAAAUACCUAUUCUGGUAGAUUUGAUAAAUUUGUGCUUUGCUCAUCCAUAGCUUUUCCUUAGAAAUAUACCUGUUUUUAUUAAAUAUUCAAAAGUUUCUAUGUACAAGAGAGAAGGCUUGCUUUCAACACAUGAAAGUCUUGCCUUAGAUUGUCGUAUGACUUACAUAUUUAUAAUCCUAAAAAAUAAAAAUGCGUAAACUAUUUACACUAUUUCUAACUUUACAUUUGUCAAAAGACUAACAAUGGUCCUAACUUUACAUUUGUCAAAAAAGUGAAAAACAAAUAAUGGCAAGUGCCUAAAAAACUAAGAAAUGUCAAAAAUAGUAAAGAUUAAUAAUGUUACACAAUUAUUUACAUAUCUUAAGUCAAAAAGACUAUUCAUAUGUCAUUGUUAUGUCAUUUUCAUAGCUUGUUUCUUUGUUCUUUUUUAUUUCUCCACUGCUCCGUUGCUAUCUUUCUAUCUUUCAGUUGGCGUCCUUAUUUUUUUUAUUCAAGUUGAACUUCAGGGAUCACAUUAUUUUCUUCAUGAAAUUUUGUGCAUUGGUGGUCUGGAUAUUUGUAUCCUAUUAAUUUGCAAUCUGGUUAAUAAUUCUUCUGAAAUAAAUUCCCUUUUAAUUAUCCUUGUAAAUGGUUGUUUUUCUGGAUUGAGCAGCAUCAUAAUCCAUUGUUUAACUUUUUCCAUAUCAGACUGUCGUAGCUCCCUUGAAUUUGAAUAGAUCAUUAAUUGAUCUCUCGAAUAGUAGCUUCAUAUGGGAUUUCCAUUGACGUAAUUAUUUUCUAGUUGUUGAAUAAUUGUAGCUAUUCCUAUAGUUUAGUUAUUUGCAUAAAAAUCAGGUAUCACAACAUUAGGUAUCUGUAGCUGUUGAACAAUAUCUUCAGGUAUAAUCAUAUCUCUGGUUAAUUCUAUUUUUACAACUUGUAUAACUUAAUUUUGUCAUAUAAUAUCUCUGCUGGUGCAGUAUAAAACUUUAUAAAAAAUAGAUUUCUUUGGUUAUUUUCUUAUAAGUGGCGAAUGCUCUAUAUAAUUCUGGUAUAGUUGUUAGUUCAUCUCCUUCUUGGGUAUAUAUGGUAUUUAAUAGUCCAUAAUAGAAACAUGUUUUAACUAAAUUUGGGUUAGUUUUUAGUAAUGCGAUUAACUUGUUGUAACCUUGUAGUUUUUAGGUUAUAUAGUCUGUGUUUGGUUCAUGGAUAUUUAUGGCUCUGGGUAUAAGGUUUGGGUGAGUCUUUAUUUUGUGGAUAUUUUCUAUGUAUGCUUGAGUUAUAUGGUUAUACGCUUUUUUAUCUUGGUUUAAACUUUCUUGAUAUGUGGUAGUUUAUGGGUGUAUAAACAAGGGCUCUUUUUGUGUUUUUGGUAUAAAUGGUUUUUCAAAUAUCUUGUUCAUGUUCAUGUUCUGAUAUCUUUGUCCACUAACUCCUUUGCUUGUACCUGCAGUUGUAGAUUGAUAAAUGUUAUGGGUUUUAUGGAGUCUCCCAAUGUCUUCUUUUAUCUAUGGAAUUUUAUUGUCUACCGAUCGACAUUGCUCUGAACACUGCUGAGUUAUCUGAGUCAUAGCUUCAGACUUCAGUUUAACUUCAUUAGUCUUUAGCUAUUCUAUUUCAUUACCCAUACUGUCUACUUUCAGUAAAAGUGUAGUUAGGGUUUUGAGUAUCUUUU
rnacentral:lncRNA from 1 species